rnacentral:misc_RNA from 1 species
AAGAUUGUUAUAAGAGACAGGUGAAUCAUCGAAUCUUUGAACGCACAUUGCGCCCUCUGGUAUUCCGGGGGGCAUGCCUGUUCGAGCGUCAUUAUAACCACUCAAGCUCUCGCUUGGUAUUGGGGUUCGCGGUCUCGCGGCCCCUAAAAUCAGUGGCGGUGCCUGUCGGCUCUACGCGUAGUAAUACUCCUCGCGAUUGAGUCCGGUAGGUUUACUUGCCAGCAACCCCUAAUUUUUACAGGUUGACCUCGGAUCAGGUAGGGAUACCCGCUGAACUUAAGCAUAUCAAUAAGCGGAGGA